rnacentral:piRNA from 1 species
UACAGAGUAUAAACAUUUACA